AGCGGAUGACGGGAGCUUGCUCCUUGAUUCAGCGGCGGACGGGUGAGUAAUGCCUAGGAAUCUGCCUGGUAGUGGGGGACAACGUUUCGAAAGGAACGCUAAUACCGCAUACGUCCUACGGGAGAAAGCAGGGGACCUUCGGGCCUUGCGCUAUCAGAUGAGCCUAGGUCGGAUUAGCUAGUUGGUGAGGUAAUGGCUCACCAAGGCGACGAUCCGUAACUGGUCUGAGAGGAUGAUCAGUCACACUGGAACUGAGACACGGUCCAGACUCCUACGGGAGGCAGCAGUGGGGAAUAUUGGACAAUGGGCGAAAGCCUGAUCCAGCCAUGCCGCGUGUGUGAAGAAGGUCUUCGGAUUGUAAAGCACUUUAAGUUGGGAGGAAGGGCAGUAAGUUAAUACCUUGCUGUUUUGACGUUACCGACAGAAUAAGCACCGGCUAACUCUGUGCCAGCAGCCGCGGUAAUACAGAGGGUGCAAGCGUUAAUCGGAAUUACUGGGCGUAAAGCGCGCGUAGGUGGUUCGUUAAGUUGGAUGUGAAAGCCCCGGGCUCAACCUGGGAACUGCAUCCAAAACUGGCGAGCUAGAGUACGGUAGAGGGUGGUGGAAUUUCCUGUGUAGCGGUGAAAUGCGUAGAUAUAGGAAGGAACACCAGUGGCGAAGGCGACCACCUGGACUGAUACUGACACUGAGGUGCGAAAGCGUGGGGAGCAAACAGGAUUAGAUACGCUGGUAGUCCACGCCGUAUACGAUGUCAACUAGCCGUUGGAAUCCUUGAGAUUUUAGUGGCGCAGCUCACGCAUUAAGUUGACCGCCUGGGGAGU
rnacentral:rRNA from 1 species